rnacentral:rRNA from 1 species
AUGGCCUCCGCGCGAGCGCCUCGCCGCCUCUCCGCCUCCCCGCCACGGAUGGCGUUCGUGGGAGCUACUCCCCGCUUCUUCCCCUCCCCGCCACCGCAGGUGCGCCCUGGACGCCACGCGGCACGGCUCGCCUGCGCCCCGCUCCUUCCACCACGCCGCCUCGCCGCCGCUCACGCACUGCUCGCCCACCCCCCUGCUGUGUUCGUAGCAGGGGCUCGUCGGCCCGGCCCUCGCCGCCAUGCCUUUGCGCCGCACCCGCACCCACACCCGCGCCGUCACGCGCCCUUCGCGCCGCAGGCGCACCCACACCCGCGUGGGCGCGCUCGCCGCCACGCGCCUGGCUUCGCGCCGCACCCGCACCCGCAGCCACAGCCGCACCCACCGCCACGCGCUCGCCGCGCACCCCCUCUCCCGCAGCCACCGCCACGCGCUCACCACGACGCCUCGGCGGGACUACACGUCGUCGACGGCGCAGUGGUGCGCCUUCCAGCACCGGCACGGGAGGCCGUGCCCGAGGAGGAGGUCGAGGGCGCCCUCCCCGCCGAGCUUGGUGGCGGUGGUGCUCCUGCGGCGGGGCUCGCGGGCGAGAGCAAGCUGCUCCAGGAGGAGGAGGCCGCGCUCCCCGCUCUGGGUGGCGGCCUUGUUAAUGCUGAGGUGCCCGAGCAGGAGGUCGUCCUCCCCGCUGAGCUGGGCGACGGGGGUGCUGCUGCUGAGGUCGGCGUCAUGGAUGGCCAGGCGGAGGAUCGUGCCGGCAACAUCCCCGGGGAGGGCGAGGAGGAGAGGGCUUGGAUUAUCCAGAUGUACGAGCUGAUGCAGCGCAAGGCGGCGGCCCUGGAGGGCAUUGCGGAGGAGAGGCGGCAGGUGACCGCGGAGACCCGGGUCACCAGAGACGCCAAGACCGCGGGCAUCAGGUCGGCCAGGCUUCACCAGAAGGAGUCGCAGGCGAUCGAUUUCUACAACGAGCUGGUCUCCGAAGUCCGUGAAGCCAGGCUUGCCAUGAUCAGUGCUCAUCUUCGUUGCCCGUUGAGGACAACUUGUGUAGAGACGAUUGCACUGGGAUGUGUUUUGUUAGGAAAGCAAUAA